UACAGAGGUCUCAAGCGUUGUUCGGAUUCAUUGGGCGUAAAGGGUGCGUAGGCGGUCGGGUAAGUCUGAUGUGAAAUCUCACAGCUUAACUGUGAAACUGCAUUGGAUACUAUUCGGCUUGAGAGUUGGAGGGGGGACGUGGAAUUCUUGGUGUAGCAGUGAAAUGCGUAGAUAUCAAGAGGAACACCAGUGGCGAAGGCGAGUCCCUGGACAACUUCUGACGCUGAGGCACGAAAGCUAGGGGAGCAAACAGG
rnacentral:rRNA from 1 species